UACGGGGGGGGCAAGCGUUGUUCGGAAUUACUGGGCGUAAAGGGUUCGUAGGUGGCUUGUUAAGUCAGGGGUGAAAUCCUGGAGCUCAACUCCAGAACUGCCUUUGAUACUGAGGAUCUUGAGUUCGGGAGAGGUGAGUGGAACUGCGAGUGUAGAGGUGAAAUUCGUAGAUAUUCGCAAGAACACCAGUGGCGAAGGCGGCUCACUGGCCCGAUACUGACGCUGAGGCACGAAAGCGUGGGGAGCAAACAGG
rnacentral:rRNA from 1 species